AACCCCAUCAUCUUACCAAACUACUACUACUACUACUACUACUACUACUACUACUACUACUACUACUUCUGCUAUUACUAUUAGGAAAAAAGGAUGUGGCGACAUCGGGACAUCUAACCCCGGAGCGCACAUUGCCAAUAUUGGAACUGGUACCGGGCUGACGUUUUUUAUUGGGUCUUCCAAGUCGCCUUGCUGCGGAACGCUCAACAACUGGAAAUUCUAUGUGACGUCAAUUGGGGACGUCACGAUGCAUCUAUGGCGGCCGACAUCGACACCAAGUUACGAACUUAUUGCGCAACAAACAU